AUUCCAGCUCCAAUAGCGUAUAUUAAAGUUGUUGCAGUUAAAAAGCUCGUAGUUGGAUUUCUGGUUAGAUGCGCCUGGCCCGCCGACGUUCAGUCGUGUGAAGUGCUGGUGCGCAACUGCCAUCCUUCUAGAGAAGGGACCAACGGUUCAUUCCGGUUCGGUUCACAAUCUAGAUCUUUUACUUUGAAAAAAUUAGAGUGUUUAAAGCAGGCUUUUGCUAUGAAUACAUUAGCAUGGAAUAAUGAUUUAGGACUCUGUUUCUAUUUUGUUGGUUUCCGGAAACGGAGUAAUGAUUGAUAGGGAUUGUUGGGGGUGCUAGUAUUCAGCGGCCAGAGGUGAAAUUCUCGGAUUCGCUGAAGACUAACUUAUGCGAAAGCAUUCACCAAGGAAGUCUUCGUUG
rnacentral:rRNA from 1 species